rnacentral:rRNA from 1 species
CUUGCUCCUUUGACGUUAGCGGCGGACGGGUGAGUAACACGUGGGUAACCUACCUAUAAGACUGGGAUAACUUCGGGAAACCGGAGCUAAUACCGGAUAAUAUUUCGAACCGCAUGGUUCGAUAGUGAAAGGUGGUUUUGCUAUCACUUAUAGAUGGACCCGCGCCGUAUUAGCUAGUUGGUAAGGUAACGGCUUACCAAGGCGACGAUACGUAGCCGACCUGAGAGGGUGAUCGGCCACACUGGAACUGGGACACGGUCCAGACUCCUACGGGAGGCAGCAGGG